rnacentral:tRNA from 1 species
GCGCCCGUAGCUCAGUUGGAUAGAGCGUCUGGCUUCGAACCAGAGGGUCGGGAGUUCAAGUCUCUCCGGGCGCGCCA